rnacentral:rRNA from 1 species
UACGUAGGGUGCGAGCGUUAAUCGGAAUUACUGGGCGUAAAGCGUGCGCAGGCGGUUCGUCGUGUCCGAUGUGAAAGCCCCGGGCUCAACCUGGGAAUGGCAUUGGAAACUGGCGGACUCGAGUGUGGCAGAGGGGGGGUGGAAUUCCGCGUGUAGCAGUGAAAUGCGUAGAGAUGCGGAGGAACACCGAUGGCGAAGGCAGCCCCCUGGGCUAACACUGACGCUCAGGCACGAAAGCGUGGGGAGCAAACGAGGAUUAGAGUACCC